GAUUAAUAUUUACUCAGUGAACUUUGAGUAAAGCAUUGGGUGCUUCAUUAUGUGGAUGAGUCUCAUCCAAUCAGUUGAAGGUGACUGAAUAGAACCAUAGAUCGACCUCACAUAAAUGAGAGGGAAUUCUGCAACAGAUCAUCUUUGCCUUUGAACUGCAGCAUGGACUCCCCUCUGGGUCUCCUGCCUGCCAGCCCACCCUGCAGAGUUUGCAUUUGCCAGCCUCCACAAUCAGGUAAUUUAUCCUGUGCAUCAGCAAGAGGAAGUCUAGAGCCAUGGAAACCAAGUCAGGAAACUUCUCUCUUAUUAUUAGGUCCACUGCAAAUCUAGUUGAGACUGCAAAUCGAGUUUAGUCACCACCUCCGAGGAACUGCGUCCCGCGUUGGCAUUCCUUUGGCAGCUUCCACUUCUCUGUCCCCUUGAGCAAAGUACGUACCAGACAUAGCCCAGCCUUAAACUAGAACACUUGAAAAAAACAACACCUGACCCUGGGGAAUUCCAGAAAUUCAAAAAUUCAA